rnacentral:lncRNA from 1 species
CACAUUUCAUCCCACACUCUAGUUAUUAAUCAGAGAACAAAUUUCCUGCAUCCUCCAUACACCAGUAUUAUAUAAAUAACAUGUUGUAUUCCCAUCUCCCCGGCCUAUUUUCAUCGCUCUCGUAUUCAACAACUACCUUGGUUUGCCAACCAUAGAAUGAAUCUAUGUUUUGGAAGAGUAACUCGCAUUCCAUACUAACUCCGCAACCUUAACCCUUGGUGUCUCUCCUAUUAGGUGCAUAUAGCUCAAGGAAGUAGAGUACUUCCCAUUGGUAGAUAAGGACUAGUGGCCAUAUUCAUACCAGCUAGUCAUUUUACUCUUUACUUUAUUCAA